rnacentral:rRNA from 1 species
CUGCCCUUCCAUCCCUUGGAUAGAUAGAGAGGGAGGGCAGAGCUUUUGGUUUUUUCAUGUUGUCAAAGAGUUGAACAAUGGUUUUUUCGUGUUGUCAAAGAUUUGAACAAUGAAAAUAGAUGGCGAGUGCCUGAUCGAAUUGAUCAGGUCAUGUAGGAACAAGGUUCAAGUCUACCGGUCUGUUAGGAUGCCUCAGCUGCAUACAUCACUGCACUUCCACUUGACACCUAUCGUAAUGAUAAACGGCUCGUCUCGCCGUGACCUUC